GACGAACGCUGGCGGCGUGCUUAACACAUGCAAGUCGAACGGAAAGGCCCUGCUUUUGUGGGGUGCUCGAGUGGCGAACGGGUGAGUAACACGUGAGUAACCUGCCCUUGACUUUGGGAUAACUUCAGGAAACUGGGGCUAAUACCGGAUAGGAGCUCCUGCUGCAUGGUGGGGGUUGGAAAGUUUCGGCGGUUGGGGAUGGACUCGCGGCUUAUCAGCUUGUUGGUGGGGUAGUGGCUUACCAAGGGUUUGACGGGUAGCCGGCCUGAGAGGGUGACCGGCCACAUUGGGACUGAGGUACGGCGCAGACUCCUACGGGAGGCAGCAGUGGGGAAUAUUGCGCAAUGGGCGGAAGCCUGAUGCAGCAACGCCGCGUUCGGGAUGACGGCCUUCGGGUUGUAAACCGCUUUCGCCUGUGACGAAGCGUGAGUGACGGUAAUGGGUAAAGAAGCACCGGCUAACUACGUG
rnacentral:rRNA from 1 species